GACCUUCCCUGGUAAAUGAAGCUGCAGCAGGAGUGAGAUCUAGAGUUCUAAGCAGAGAUUCUCAUUCUUCAGAACCUAGAAUGUUAAGAAUGGAAAUCAGAACUCUAUUGUCUCAGGUCAGAUUCCCCAGGAAGCAGCCUCUGAGUCAAAUUGUGUGUGAAGAUGUUUCUUAAUGAGUGCCCAUGGGAUCCACGCCUGUGGAAGGAAAGAUAAGGAAGCAAGUGGACAGAGGAAGAACUUGGGCUGUGGUACAGGCCCAUGACAGCAUUAGCUGACUCCAUGGGAGUUCUAGAGAUAGAAUGGAUUCAGGGUUUUUGUGGAGUGCACUGAGACCACCAAGCUUUUAUAUCCCUGUAUCAGUCAAUUAUUAGGUAGUGAAUACUCCAACUCUGGUGCGGUAAAAGUAGGACGCCUCAGUUUCUGCGCAAUGAAGGUACGUGUUGAUAAGACUCUGUACCUUUCUUUUUGGAGUUUGCAGUUGCCCUUUGCUCUUUGUUGCAGGGGUUGUUAAGUUUCCAUUUACAUAGACUCUGCAAAAGUGAAAAAAAGAACAAUUUUAAAGCUGUUUAUAUGCAUCCAGCCAAAUAUAACCUUUAAAUACUACUCCCUGGGAUGGAGGCUUCACUGUCUUCAGGCCAAAUCUGGCCUAUGGAGCAUCUUUGAGUUAUUGUGCAAAAAAGUAGAGGCUUCCUUUUUUUAAUGUGCUGGAGUUCUGAUAUUUGUCUGCGUUAUAUGAGAAACUGUGAAAUACAAGUUGUUUGGAUUUUCAGCAAUUGUUAAUGAUAUAAUGAACUAUCAUUAUUAUAUGUAUAUAUGUAUAUAGAUAGUAUCUGUAAGUGCCUCCCAUAUACUUUUCAUAAUUGUUUAAGAGCCAUGACUUGGUCAGAUUGUCCUUUUCUGUCAUGUUUCAAAUGUUGAAUCUUGAAAAACAAGUAUGAGAAUAACACACUGAGCUUGUCAUUAGUAGAUUAGUUGCCGCUACAAAGCCUUCUGUUGAGGAUGAAUUCUUUUUUACUUGCCUAAAAAGUGUUUCUCUUGGAGAGCAAUUA
rnacentral:lncRNA from 13 species